rnacentral:pre_miRNA from 1 species
UUCUGUUGCAUCGUACUUCUUUACAUCGCCAUACUGGUAUUUCAAAGAGCUAUGGAAUGUAAAGAAGUAUGUAGUUACUGAA